GCUGCCGAUAUGGACCUUCAGGAUGAGAACCAAAGUCGCCUUGCUGCCCUGUGCAAAAGUUUAGGCAAUUUAUGGUCAGAAGGUGACGUGGUCGAAGUGCAACAGGAAAUCCCUCCCAACAAACGAAUUGAAUGUAGCCAUACUCUCUUCGGUAAGCUAUACUCGAAACCCAAUGUGAACUUUCCAGCAUUCACUACCACUAUGAAGAAGGCGUGGAAAGUAGAGGCUGUUGUGUUUAUACAAAAAGAACUGGGGUUUUUUUUCCUUUGUAUUCGAUUCAGAGGAAGACAAGGAGAGAGUUCUGAAGUCUGCACCAUGGUCCCUUAAUAGCAACCUCUUAGUGUUAAAGCAAUGUGAGCCAAAAAUCCCAGAACACUGCUAUGAUUUUUCUAAAUCAGAUUUUUGGGUGCGUAUUGUUGGUUUACCCCUGGGAUGGCUUAUAGAAGAAGUCUUUGCUGAAGUUGCUGGAAAAGUAGGAGUAGUCAAGGAAAUACAACUAGAAUCUAGAGGAAUCGGUCCCUACAAAACAGGUAAAGUCAAAGUGGAGCUGGAACUUUCAGCCCCUCUCAAAACAGGGGCGUUAGUGAAGAUCGGGAACAGGAAUCUAUGGGUGGAAUUCAAAUAUGAAUGUCUCCCUCACUUUUGCUACUCAUGUGGUCGAAUCGGGCACUAUGCAUCAUAUUGCGAGGAGAUACCAUAUGAGACAACAAAUUGGGCAGCUAACAAGGUUGGUCAGUAUGGACCUUGGCUCAAAGCAGAAGUAAGAGAUUGUAGCCCACACUGGGGAGUAUUUUACGGUAAGAAUGCUCCAAAUCAGGAAGAAGAAGAAUCAGUCCCUGAAACGCCCCUAAUGACAGUUAAUAUGGAGGUUGCUACUGGCACAGAAGCUGAAACUAAUACAAACCCUCGGAACAAAAAAAGGGUUGAUAGCCCAUCAUCAAAGGAAGGCAGAGAGGAAAGAGACAAAAACACAGUAGUAAAAGAGGGGUGUGGAAAACAAAUACUGUCCCUAGAAGGCCCAUCAAAAUCUACAGGAGGAGAAGUUAAGAAAAUGCUGAAGUACCAACAAGCGAAAAAACAGAAAAGAGUUGAAUUCACCAGCUCCGACGUUCUUGAUGAUAUGGAGCUAUUACAGACCCCCGUACAGCUGGUCAAGGAGGGGAAAGACUGGGCUUUGGUGGCUAGCCUAAUAAGCCAUCCAAGACGCCAUGAAGAUCCUCAGCUGGAACUGUCAGGGGCUGGGCAACCCCCUAACAGUCCAGGAAAUUAGAGCUUUAACAGCUCAAGAACGGCCCAAUUUGGUCUUCUUGAUGGAGACCAAAAACAAGGAGACGGUGGUAGAAAAGACUAAAAGAAAGAUACAGUUUUAGCACAUGUUUCUAGAGCAACCAAUUGGCAUAGCAGGCGGUUUGGUGCUUAUGUGGAAUGAGGAGGCGGAAGUUAAAAUAAUUUCAAGUUCGAAAGAAUAUAUAGAUGUGGAAUGCAAGGAUCCUUCAAGUGGCCAUAUCAUGGAAGUUACCUUCAUACAUGCUCCCACAACUCUUUCAGAGAGACUUUUAUUAUGGCAAAAAUUACGGGAGUUGCACUCCGACAACCAUCACCCAUGGCUCUGUGUGGGGGACUUUAAUGAAAUCCUAUAUAGUUGGGAGAAGGUAGGAAAGAGGGAAGCGGAUCAACAUCGGAUUGCAGCCUUUCGGGAAUUACUGAAUGAUUGUUCUUUAAUGGACAUUGAUACAAAAGGGUGUGCUUUCACGUGGGCAAAUAAUAGAGAUGGUGAAAAAUUAGUGAAAAAGAGGCUAGACAGAGCAUUAUGCUCAAUGGAAUGGAGAAUUACCUUCCCAAAUGCUGAAGUGGUGGCUCUCCCAGCAGUUGGCUCAGACCACAGCCCACUUUUAUUGUCUUUACAUCCUGUCCGAGAGAAAAGGAGGAAGCAAUUUAAAUUUGAAGCCUACUGGAUGGAGGAAGAAGAGUGUGGGGAAAUUAUUAAACGUUGUUGGGAAGGUGACCAGCACUAUCAAACGAACUUCGCUCAGAAAAUACAGCAUGUUACAAAGGAAUUGACAGCAUGGAGUGAAACUAAAUUCUCUAAUGCCUCUCUCCAAAUUAAAAAGGCUCAAAAAGAAACUCAUGGAUAUCACCAAUGGGAACACUGAAUUUUCCAGCAAAGAGGAAUGCCAAGAAAUCAAAGAAAAUAUUGAGCGGCUAUGGCAUCGGGAGGAGUUGUAUUGGGGUAUGAGGUCUCGUAUAAAUUGGCUGCGUUGGGGAGAUAGGAACUCAAAAUACUUCCACGCCACCACUGUCCAACGAAGACAAAGAAACAGAAUCUCUAUGCUGCGCCUUAAUGAAGACACCUGGUGUAGGGACCAAACAACAUUGAAACAGCACAUUGAAGAGUUCUACUGCUCCUUAUACGAAUCAGAGGGUCCCAGAGAGUUUCAGCCUAUUCUAGACAUGUGUCCAACGGUCAUUAACGCACAAAUGAAUGAGAGCCUCCUCACCCCAAUCUCUAUGGAAGAGGUAAAAGAAGCAGUUUUUCAGCUGGGAUCAUUAAAAGCUCCGGGCCUAGAUGGUCUGAAUGGACAAUUUUACCAACAUCAUUGGGAGGAAAUCAAGAUAGAUGUGCUGAAUAUGGUCAUAAACUUCUUUGAAUCAGGUGAGUUCGAUCCCCAACUUAAUAAGACUUACAUAACCCUCAUUCCCAAAGUCAAAACCCCAGAAAGUAUUUGUCAGUUCAGGCCAAUUAGUCUAUGCAACUUCAGCUACAAAAUCAUCUCAAAGGUCUUAGCAAACAGAUUGAAACCAUGGCUUGAUGAGAUAAUAGCCAAUGAACAAAGCGCAUUUGUUAAAGGAAGACAAAUACAAGAUAACAUUUUUAUAGUUCAAGAAGUGUUGCACCAGCUGCGAAUCAGAGAAAGAAAGAAGAAAUCCAAGAAGUUCUCAAACUGGAUAUGAAAAAAGGCCUAUGAUAGGGUGGAAUGGGAUUUCUUAAAAAUGAGUAUGCUGCAAAUGGGGUUUAGUGCAAGAUGGGUUGAGCUGGUAAUGAUAUGUGUUUCUACGAUGACAUUCAGUGUCAAGGUGAAUGGUGAUCAAACCCAGUUUUUUACACCCACACGGGGCUUAAGACAAGGAGAUCCAUUGUCGCCCUACCUAUUCAUCUUAAUGGCUAAUGUUUUCUCCUGGAUGAUGCACAAAGCAAUUGAAGAUGGGAGAAUAAGACUAAAUAGGUAUUGUCCUACAUUGUCUCACCUCCUAUUUGCCGAUGAUGCAAUAAUUUUUAUGGAUGGGACAGUGAGAGAAUGCCAAAAUUUGUCAAAUCUCCUGAACCAAUAUUGUUAUGCUACUGGUCAAGCUAUCAAUCUAAACAAAUCAGGAGUGUUUUUCAGCAAGGGUUGCCCCGCAUCCUUAAAAAGUAAUAUGGCCUAUGAGUUGCGAGUACCUAUUAUUGACAAAACAGGGAAAUACCUGGGAAUUCCAUCUGAUUGGGGACAAACAAAAAAGGAGAUGUUUUCAUGGAUUCUGGCGAGGGUAAACAUGAAGCUGGAAGGUUGAAAAGAAAAGCUAUUAUCUAAAGCUGGCAAAGAAAUAUUGAUAAAAGCUGUGGUACAGGCUCUUCCUCAAUAUGCUAUGUCAAUUUUUAAAAUUCCCAUCUCAGUUUGUAAAGCCAUAGAACAACGAAUAGCAGCUUUCUGGUGGAAACAAAAUGAGUCCAAGAGAGGAAUGCACUGGAAGAAAUGGGAAAUUUUGAAACGCAAGAAAGAUGAAGGGGGUCUUGGGUUCAAAGACCUAAUUAUAUUCAACAAGGCAAUGUUAGCCAAACAAGCCUGGAGACUUUCACAAUCACCCUCAGCUCUAUGGGGCCAAAUCCUGAAAGGAAUAUACUAUCCAAAUGGAGACCUAUGGCAAGCACAUAUAGGACAAAGACCUUCUUGGGGGUGGCGCAGUCUUCUCAUUGGCCGAGACACUUUAGAACCAGAGGUGAGAUGGAUAGUGGGAGAUGGACACAACAUUAACAUAUGGAGAGACAGAUGGCUUCCAAGAGGCGUGAUAGGAGGACCGAAAAACAAGGAUGAUCCUGAGAUAGUAGCUGAACUAAUGAGCGCAGAAAGGAGACUAUGGGAGGAUUCUAAAGUUCAAACGCUCUUUGAUGAACAAAUUGCUCGAGAAAUUCUUGCAACUCCACUCAGUGCUCAAUCACAACCAGAUAAACUCAUAUGGACAGGGAAUCAUUCAGGGACGUACACAGUUAAAAGCGGCUAUAACAGAGUGCGCUCAACAACCAAUCAUCCCGACCCCAACAGUGCAACAACCUCCUAUCAGCCACCUAGAUCCCUCUGGAUCAAACUAUGGGACAUGCCAAUUCCCCCCAAAAUAAAAUUCUUUCUCUGGAGCAUAUGCCAAAAUACACUCCCUACUAAGGAAAACCUCUACAAAAGGUGCAUAUUACCUGAUCCCCUUUGUCCACUCUGUCUCCACCACCCAGAAACAGCAGAACACCUGUUCUUCUUGUGCAAAAAGACAAGGAAAAUAUGGCUGGACCCGCG
rnacentral:lncRNA from 1 species